AUGGAGGGCGCGCUUGCAGCCAACUGGAGCGCGGAGGCGGCCAAUGGCAGCGAGGCGCCGCCGGGAGCGGAGGGCAACCGCACCGCCGGGGCCCCGCAGCGCAACGAGGCCUUGGCGCGCGUGGAGGUGGCCGUGUUGUGCCUCAUCCUCUUCCUGGCGCUGAGCGGCAACGCGUGCGUGCUCCUGGCGCUGCGCACCACGCGCCACAAGCACUCGCGCCUUUUCUUCUUCAUGAAGCACCUGAGUAUAGCCGACCUGGUGGUGGCGGUGUUCCAGGUGCUGCCGCAGCUGCUGUGGGACGUCACCUUCCGCUUCUACGGGCCCGACCUCCUGUGCCGCCUGGUCAAGUACCUGCAGGUGGUGGGCAUGUUCGCCUCCACCUACUUGCUGCUGCUCAUGUCUCUCGACCGCUGCCUGGCCAUCUGCCAGCCGCUGCGGGCGCUGCGUCGCCGCGCAGACCGCCUGGCGGUGCUCGCCACGUGGCUGGGGUGCCUGGUGGCCAGCGCCCCACAAGUGCACAUCUUCUCGCUGCGCGAGGUGGCCGACGGCGUCUUCGACUGCUGGGCGGUCUUCAUCCAGCCCUGGGGGCCCAAGGCCUACAUCACGUGGAUCACGCUCGCCGUCUAUAUCGUGCCGGUCAUCGUGCUCGCCGUCUGCUACGGCCUCAUCAGCUUCAAGAUCUGGCAGAACUUGCGGCUCAAGACGGCGGCGGCGGCGGAGGGGCCGGAGGGCGCGGUGGCCGUGGGCGGCGCCGGGCGUGCGGCGCUGGCGCGCGUUAGCAGCGUCAAGCUCAUUUCCAAGGCCAAGAUCCGCACCGUCAAGAUGACCUUCAUUAUCGUGCUGGCCUUCAUCGUGUGCUGGACGCCAUUCUUCUUCGUGCAGAUGUGGAGCGUCUGGGACGCCAAUGCGCCCAAGGAAGCCUCGGCCUUCAUCAUAGCCAUGCUCCUGGCCAGCCUCAACAGCUGCUGCAACCCUUGGAUCUACAUGCUCUUCACCGGCCACCUCUUCCACGAACUUGUACAGCGCUUCCUCUGCUGCUCCUCCAGCUACCUGAGGGGCAGCCGGCCGGGAGAGACCAGCGUCAGCAAAAAGAGCAACUCAUCCACCUUUGUCCUGAGCCACCACAGCUCCAGCCAGAGGAGCUCCUCGCAGCCAUCUGCAGUGUGACCAGCCUGGGCCAGGACUGCCUCCCGCGGCUCAGCUUGUGCCAACACGGACAGUCUGCCCCUUGGUGGCCUGUGCGUGUGUGUAUGAGUCCAAGAAGCUAGCACGGUCCUGAUGUUUGGGGAGCAGUCAUGCGCUGAAAUGCCGGUAUUCAGACUCUUGCCAUUUAGCACAGGAUCUUCAGUACUGACUGGGGACUGAACACUGCAUCACCUUUGGGCCCUGAGACAGUAUUGCUGUGAACGUCCUGAUGGCGUCAACACCAGCCAGUCCUUGCUUUUUGGAAAGCGAACAGGAUGCCCACUUGGGGUCUUUGUGGCCACAUAGACAACCCCGGAGCACUCUGGGAGCAAAGCACCCGUGGCAGGGCCUUUUGGCAUUUGAGCCUUUCUGUUCGUGAGCCAGCGAUGCUACAGUCUCUGCUGUUCCAGGAAAGUUGUCUCCCUAGCAGCUGACAGAGGCCACUGGGGCUCGAGGGCACAGCCACUCACGGAUUUUCCUGACUAGGGGCACAACCUCCCUGAGACCCCUGGAGUUGCAAGAUUCUUGGGCACUGGAGCCACUGGGAUGUUUCCCUUAUUCUCUUCCUCUGACAGCUCUGGAUGGUUCCUUGGAUCUUAUAAUGGUGCCAGAGUCUGUUGUAUAGCAAAUCCGUGGGAUUUGAUUUCAGCAGCACCCGUGAGUCCACACCCCACCCAAUGCUGGAGGAAAUUUCCACCGUCUCAGUCUUUCCCCUGCCAAAGCCCGGAAGCAUGAGCCCGUGGCCCAGGACAGUGUCUGAAGCUCGGUUGUUUCUGUCCUUCCCCAGACCCCAUGCCUGAGGUCUGUGAAUCAUCUUUUCCCACAGCAUCAGACCUGUCGACAAACCUAACAUGUGGCUGGAGGCGCCAGUAAACUGGACCAUGAGCAUUUUCUCCUGGGAUGAUUCAUUCUGAUGGUCAAAAGUGACAUGUGAACACUUGAAGACGCCGAGCCUUAUUUCUUUAGGCCCUGGGGAAAAAAGUGCCACACAAUUUGCUCUCCUUUGGGGACGGAUCUGUGGGUUACCCUGCAGGAGGCUGCCUUUUACAAAGACCCUUGUUUCACAGUGCUCCACCUGUUGUAUUUCAUUGCGAUGAAACCCCACUGAAUGCAAAAUGUGAAUUCCUUGAUUUUGUUCUCCUGUGGUGACUUUUCUGUGGACUGUGCCCAUCGCUGAAUGAUGUGGCAGAUAACAAGGUGUCUGCUUCCUUAACUGCUUUAUAAAAGGUGCAAUGA